rnacentral:rRNA from 1 species
AGAGUUUGAUCAUGGCUCAGAUUGAACGCUGGCGGCAGGCCUAACACAUGCAAGUCGAGCGGUAACAGGAAGUAGCUUGCUACUUCGCUGACGAGCGGCGGACGGGUGAGUAAUGCCUGGGAAUAUGCCUUGAUGUGGGGGAUAACUAUUGGAAACGAUAGCUAAUACCGCAUAAUGCCUACGGGCCAAAGAGGGGGAUCUUCGGACCUCUCGCGUCAAGAUUAGCCCAGGUGGGAUUAGCUAGUUGGUGGGGUAAAGGCUCACCAAGGCGACGAUCCCUAGCUGGUCUGAGAGGAUGAUCAGCCACACUGGAACUGAGACACGGUCCAGACUCCUACGGGAGGCAGCAGUGGGGAAUAUUGCACAAUGGGGGAAACCCUGAUGCAGCCAUGCCGCGUGUAUGAAGAAGGCCUUCGGGUUGUAAAGUACUUUCAGCAGUGAGGAAGGUGGUGAUGUUAAUAGCAUUAUCAUUUGACGUUAGCUGCAGAAGAAGCACCGGCUAACUCCGUGCCAGCAGCCGCGGUAAU